rnacentral:rRNA from 1 species
GAAACCGCGAACGGCUCAUUAUAACAGCUAUAAUGUACUUGAUCUUGAUUAUCCAAUGUGGAUAACUGUGGCAAUUCUAGAGCUAAUACAUGCACCAAAGCUCCGACUUUUGGACGAGCGCAUCUAUUAGAUUAAAACCAAUCGGGCUUUACAGCCCGCCAUAAUGGUGACUCUGAAUAGCUCUGGCUGAUCGCAUGGUCUUGUACCGGCGACAUAUCUAUCAAGUGUCUGCCUUAUCAACUUUCGAUGGUAGUUUAUGUGCCUACCAUGGUUGUAACGGGUAACGGAGAAUAAGGGUUCGACUCCGGAGAGGGAGCCUGAGAAACGGCUACCACAUCCAAGGAAGGCAGCAGGCGCGCAAAUUACCCACUCUCGGCAUGAGGAGGUAGUGACGAAAAAUAACGAGACCGUUCUCUUUGAGGCCGGUUAUCGGAAUGGGUACAAUUUAAACCCGUUAACGAGGAUCUAUGAGAGGGC